CCAGUGUUCAACAGCAGCCAAAGGGGGGCACCUUCACUGCUAAUUCCUGCGGCUGAAAAACUGUCACGGACGAUUUCUUUCAGAGGAGAUGUGUUCACACAGGUUACAGCUGCACAGUUCUUCUCCAUCAGUCCUCUGUUUGUAUUUGUUCUUUAUGAUCGCUUACAGGAAAAAAGAGAAAGUGAGAAGCAGAUAUCUUCUGUGACAAAACAGAGCUUGGAAGACACUGUAGGCACAGGGAAUAAUUGCAAUAUGUAUUCAACAUCUAAAAUCUGCAAUUAUAUCAUUGCUUGACAUUUUUAGAUGUCAAUAAAUCUGUAAGAACAAAUAGAAGCUAAUGAGCUGAUGCACCUUUGGAAAACCUGCACUUUCCUUGUGUGCACUAUUCUUUCUCCUGAAGUCGUGGCUCGGGCGAAGCCCAAAUAGCUGGGAUGCUAAGCCCUGGGCGCAUAUAUCUACAGCACUGAUCUUGAGCGAUGAUGCGUUUCAAAUGCCGCUAUGAAAGAAAGCGGAAGAGCCUCAGAGAGAACAGCUUCCUGUCAUUUAAAUGCCACUUGAUGGAUACAAUGUGAACAAAGAGCUGUUUCGUGGCAUCCUCUAGGCUUUUGUUAAGAUACAUUCAUUGAAUUCUCAUACCCUUUACUGUUUUUUCCCCUCCCUCUUGGAGAGAUUUACUGUCAGUAUUGCCUUUAUGGUGAAUACCAUCCUUUGGAAGGUAAUCAAAUUAAGAUUUUUUAAUUUUAUUUACUACAUGUAGGAUGUUUUUUACAAAGAAGACAAGUUCCCCUGGAAAGAGGUGAUCAAUGUUAAUUUUCCAAAGGGCAGUGUGUGCCCGUGACAUUUUAUCUUUGGCUAAUAUUUAUAAAAUAAGCCUGUAGUUUGUCCUCAGCUCAGCCUGAAAAUGCUGACUGAGAGUCCAAGUCGUAUUGCUUGCUUCUGCUUGCGGACAUCAGCUUGAACAUAAAUUCCUUUGCUGGCGUAUUAUCUCUUAUCAUUAACCACCAGGACAGUCCUUCUGCAACUUCUUCUGGACAAAAAAAGCAAGAUAAGUGUAUAUUAUAGCUUUGAAGAACCUAAUUGAACCCUCUCUCAGGCAAAGUUCAUCGGUGGUUAACUAUAAAACGUGACUAAUCUGUUUGCAUUUGACCUAAAGGUGAAUUAAGAAGCUGUCUAUCUGCAAGAGCCCCAGCCUUUGCCAUCCAGCAGAUAUUAGACACUGUAUAUGCAUAUCCGGCACUAUGUUCACAAUGGUGCGCGUGUGAUGCUGAUCCACAGAUCUGUGUUUGGAGGCAAUUUUGGAUUCUCUUCCAGAACCCUCAAGAGAUAUAUAGAGCAUGUUCUCAGAUCAUAAAUGCAAAACCUGGGGAGUUAAUCAUUCCUUUAAGAUGUUUCUAACGCAUCAAUUAUUAAUGAAAUCUCUAGGUUGUGUGGCUUUCUACUUUUAUACCCAUGUGUGCUUGUGGUGGAGAGGAUGAAGGGGAGAGGCACAUAAAUCAGAGAAAGAAUUAUAAUUAGAAACACUUGAGUUGGAAAUCCUCAUCUCCCGAACGCACUGCAUUGCAACUGAUGCGGCCUCAACUUCAGAAAGGUAAAACUUUGAUCAGGAACAGAGCGCAGGCUAACAUGCAGAAUGUUCUAAUGCCGAGUAAGAAAGCUAAGCUAUGGAUUGGUAACUGCCAGUGGAGGAAAGCUACUUGCAGCUGCAGACAAAUGAGCCACGUCCAGAAUCGCUGCUCACUGAGCGGCAUCUCAUAAGGUGUGACUGGGACUUUGCAGACACUGCUUCUGAGUAGUCUUCUAGGUAUUAAAACCUUCAGCCACAAACAGAGUGUAUUUAUUAUCACCUCCCUCCCUUUUCCAGAAGGUGUCUCUUUGCACGCUAACGUGCAGGCGUGGAUGUGUUUCAGCAGGGGGAUGUGAAUCUUCUGUGUGAGUUACACUUCUCCAACCAGGUCAUUCCUUUUUUUUUUUUUCAUGUGGGAAAGUAUUUUUAAUCAAAUUUUGCAGUUUGUAAAGCAAACAAACAGAGGAAAAGCCUCUGGAUAGUAUUUGCAGGUUUUUCUUUGGAAGGAGAAAGUGUAAGUGUUUUGCUGUAGAAGGAAAAUAUAUAGUUUUUCAUUGCUGGAAUUCAAAAUAUGGUGACAGUACCAGUCUUAGAGAAGAGCUUGAAAAUGAAAGAAGUACUUUACUUGAAGUCUCUUCUGGGAAGCAAAUAUCAUUCAUCCCCAGACCUGUGUAGCAAAUAUAAACACCAGUCAAGUUUAAAGAAGAAAAAGGCAUAAAAACAGAAAGGAAGACCCUCAUUUAGUUUAUUUUGGAGACCUAAGGAAACAACUUUGAAUGUGUGUAGGUGAACAAAAAAUUCUGUAUUGAGAGGGUUGAAGUUGCUUAUGAUGUUUCCUCUUAUAAAAUGAGGAGGAGGAGAGAGAGAAAACGAUCGUGUUGAAACCCAGGACACUGUAUGCAACAGGCUUACCUUUAGGAAAUUUCUGUACCACACUUAUUUAUGCUUGUCCUAAUAGAAUUAUAGUGGAUACCUUAAAGUGAGAAUCUGAUACUGUCUGUGCUGUGACAUCCGUUAAUUGAAGAAUGACUUCUCUUCUGAAUCUUCUGUAGGCUUUUUCCCUAACCUACAUGGUCUUACUGGAUUGACAAUGCUGGUCAUCAUAUGUACCUCCUGCUCACCUGACAGAAAGGCAACACUCUAAUCAGGCUGCACACUAUAAAUUCUUAUCAAAUCUGUGAAACAAACCUGAAACAAAUAGCUCUGCCUUCAUUGCAGUUCUUAAGCCUGUUCAUGAUAAAAAAAAAAAAAAAAAAAGUCAUUUUGUAUGGCUUACAAAUAGGUGCCCAAAACCUGGUACCCCUGAAGUUCUGAAUUCACUCACACUGAGUCAACUGCCUCACUUACUGUUUACAUCUGUACAAUUAUAAUUUAGAAGAAACUAGGCUUUGGGCUUUUUUUUUCCCUAUCAUCCAGAAUAGUUUGCUGCUAUUAUUCCUGAGCUUUUAAAAAAGCACCUUAAAGACAUUGCUAAUGACUUAAUUUGGGUUUAAUUUGAACUGGUUUAAUACAGAGGGAAAAAAGGCUGACAAACACAUUGUGUAAAUUAUUUUAGUGAGAUAUUUAAUUAGAUGUUUUCAUACAGCACUGCAGAAGUCAUAAAAAAAGAUAAACUGGUUUUCAGUAGUAGUGAAAUCUGGAGUGCAUUGGUGACAACUUCCUGGCAUAGUUGAUAUUUUGGAAAGUAGAUGACAUAUGUUGUUAAUUUUUUCCUAUUGCAUGUGAAAUUACAAAACAAUUUAAAAAAAAAAGCAAUACAAAAAACCUUAUUCAAGGUAACCUGCACUAAGAAUAUAUCUUUUUAUUUAUUUGUAGAGAGAUAAAUAAUUUAUUGCACAGUGGAAGAGUUAAAGAAUAAAGGCUCAGUUAAGUCUUCCCUCACAGAGAAAACAGCAUUGUAACUUCACAGAAAUAGCUGAGAUUUCAACCUUCAUCAGUCUGGAAUGUGAAUAGCAACUGCCUUCAGAGAGCAAAGUGUUGCAUUACUGGACCUGCAGGAGGAAGGAUAUCUCUGGACAGAGAAUGACAAGUUGGAGCGGAGCUAGCACUCAGCACCUUGAAGAACUGUGUCCUCUACUGAAACAAUUGGCAGUCUUCCUUCCUCUGUUUAUACCAGGUCCAUGAAAGAAGCAAGUGCAUAAAGAGAUACGUGAGAUUCACUUCAGAGGCACGCUUGGACCAGAGCAGCAGAGAAAUACUCAGGAAAAGAUGCUUAUGCAUUGUGAACAUGCAGUAUGAUAGCACUUACACAGCUAGAAGAAAGUGUAUCCUUUGGCCCAGCCUGCACAGAUAUAAGGUUUUUUUUAUGCACUUAUCUUGCCCCAGAGAUCUGUCUGGUCUAACUUUCAUCCAUCUCUAAGGGAAGUCUAUGAACACAAGUACCCUUUCUUGGUCAGAAUGCUAUAGAAAACAUAGAAAGAGGCAUUCUUCCAGUACUUUUAAAGGAUCAAAACUGCCCUUGAGGUAACCUCAAGGUAUUUCAGGGAAGGUAUAGAGAAACAGAAUUUGCCUUUUCAGUUUUCUUGAACAAACGUGUUGAUUGGUAUGCUGUCACAUUCUCAAAUUCACAGUAGCUGCACAUCAGCAAAUAUAUUUGGAAUCCCAAGUGCUGUCUUUGUACUCAGCAAAAUCAUCCUUAAGACAAUAGGCAAGUAACGGUAUAAAUUGAUGUUGGUGAUCAAACACUCCAAUGGAAAAAGUCUGCAAGUUUUAAUUUUUCAGUUUAUUUUUGAUGUACAGCUGGCUGUGUGUUUUUUUAAGGCAUAGACCAGACAGCUUCAGAUAAAAUGAAAAAUGUGUCUAGGAUUUUGUUGUCCAAACACUUUGAAAUACUUUCCAGUUUUGGUCAACUAAAACAAAACAUUCAGAUGACAUUUUUACAUGUUCUGUACAUGUAGACAAUUUCAGGCAUGGGCUACAUGGCUUUUCUAAUAAUAGAGAACCUGGUGACAUAACCAUGAAUAAAUAGGGUGGUAGGACUGGACAUGAGCCAGCAGUGUGCGCUGGCAGCCCGGAAGGCCAACUAUGUUCUGGGCUGCAUUAAAAGAGGAGUGGCCAGCAGGGAGAGGGAGGUGAUGGUCCCACUCUACUCGGC